CAGCGUCAGAUGUGUAUAAGAGACAGAACAUAGUGACAGUGUACCUUUUGCAUAAUGGGUCAGCGACUAAAUGAAACAAGUAUGCGUAAGCAGUGAUGUGGACGCAGAGCAAAAGCAAGUCGACAAUGGCAUGAUAUUUGGUUCAUUUGACCCGAAACUAAGUGAUCUUAUCUUGAACAGGUUGAAGAAAGCGUAAUGUCUUUUGGAGGACCGAACCGACGUCUGUAGCAAUAGACGCGGAUGAUUUGAGAUAAGGGGUGAAAGGCCAAUCAAACUUAGAAAUAGCUGGUUCUUCGCGAAAUAUAUUGAGGUAUAGCGUACAUAGAAUUUCUGUUACUGGGGGUAGAGCACUCAUUGAGCUAUGGGGGUCCAAAACCUUACUGCUCUCAAGGAAACUCCGAAUACCAUAUAACAUGAUGUGUGUGCAGUCAGACAUAUAGUGCUAAGGUUAUAUGUCGAAAGGGAAACAGCCCAGCCCAGCCGCUAAGGUCCCUAAGCUUUCUGUGAGUGGGAAAAGGAGUGAAACAACGUUGACAACUAGGAGGUUGGCUUGGAAGCAGCCAUUCUAUCAUGAAAGCGUAAUAGCUCACUAGUCGAGUUGUUUUGCACUGAAAAUGUAUCGGGGCUGAACAGAAACACCGACGCGCUGGUUUUAUAUUUUAAAAGGUAGCGAAGCGUUUUGUACGCCAAAGAAGUAUUUUCAGAAGAAAAUACUGAGGUAUCAAAAGUGACUAUGCUGACAUGAGUAACGAAAAUCAUGUACAAUCAUGAUCACCGUAUGUUCAAGGGUUUCUGCGUCCUGGUUUACAGCGCAGAGUUAUGUCCGGUCCCUAAGAGACACACGCACUCGUGUGCUUAAUGGAUGUCAUUUAUGUAAGACGGUACGUACUUCUAAAAACUACAAUUGGAUAUGGUGUAUAGUAAGUAGGUAUCCAGGAAAAUUCAUAAAUAUAUUGACCGUACCCUAAACCGACACAGGUGAACGAGUCGAAUAGACUCAGGUGAUGAGAGAACCACAUUGAAGGAACUCGGCAAAAUAUUCCCGUACCUUAGGAAGAAGGGAAGCCAAAAAUGGUGACACAAAAAUGGGGGUGACGACUUUUUACUAAAAAAUUAGGACUCUGCAAAAUGGGAACAUGAAGUAUAGGGUCUGACGCCUGCCCGGUGCUUGAAGCUUAACCUGUAUGCUUUUUUGGUAUAUUGAGAAGGCCUAGUAAACGGCGGUUGUAACUAUAACAAUCAUAAAGUAGCGAAAUUCAUUGCCAGCUAAUUCCUGGCCUGCAUGAAAGACGUAACGAUUGCCCCACUGUCUCCAGUAUGGACUCAGUGAAAUUGAAUUCUCCGUGCAGAUGCGGAGAACGUGCCCCAAGACGAGAAGACCCUAUGCAUCUUUACUGUACAUUUACACUGGAAAAAAGCUUAAAUUGUGUAGGAUAGGUGGGAGUUGACAACAACCUUGAAAUACCACCCUUUUUAAGAAGAGUUCCUUACUUGAACACGGUUCAAAAACACUGUAUAUGAGGCAGUUUGACUGGGGCGGUCGCCUCCCAAAGAGUAACGGAGGCGCGCGAAGGUGGGCUCAGGCCGGUCGGAAAUCGGUCGUCGAGUGCAAUGGCAUAAGCCAGCCUGACUGUGAGUCUGACAAGACGAGCAGAGACGAAAGUCGGUCAUAGUGAUCCGGUGGUCCCGAGUGGAAGGGCCAUCGCUCAACGGAUAAAAGGUACGCCGGGGAUAACAGGCUGAUACCCCCCAAGAGUCCAUAUCGACGAGGGUGUUUGGCACCUCGAUGUCGGCUCAUCACAUCCUGGGGCUGGAGCAGGUCCCAA
rnacentral:rRNA from 1 species